CCCCAACCCCCAACGACCUGUGGGGUUCUCGGGUCUACCCCCUUUGACCUGGGGGCCGUCCCCCUCCUUAUAACUCUGAAGUUGCCACCUUCCCGUUGAUUCUAGGGUCGAGUUCCUUGCUUGACUCCGAGGUCCUGGCCCUCUUUCCUCUUUAUGAUUUUGGAGAUCUGGCCCCAUUCUCUUACCUCAAACUCGCAACAGUUCAUUUCUAUAAAACGAGGAUAAAAAUCAACUCUACUUGGCGGACUUCUUUGUGGAAAUCAGACUAGGUGAUGUCAGCGAAGCCCUAAGGAGAGCUUGGCUCCUCCGUUCCUGUUUAAGGUAUUUUAUUAUUAAUAACAACUCUAGGAUCCAGUCUCAUUCUAGGGCCCUCCUUUGCCCCCAGACAGUUGAACAUCCAACACCAUCCUGAAGAUAGUCAUUCUCACAUCUCUAGUGACAUUGGAACAGAGUGGCGUGACCAAUGCUCAGCCCGUUCCUCCACAGAGUUUCAGGUCCCAGUGUUCUUUUCUCCACUCCUGAUCACCUUUUAAAGAGGGACCAUGGUAACCAUCCUUCAUGUUUCUCCCCAUGCCUUGGCCCUCCACCAGCCUGGGUGGGUGUGAGUCUUUCUUCUGUUGCAGAAACCCCUUCCUUUCCCACCCUGCAUCCAGCUACAUUAGAACAUUGCACAUAGGGUUUAGCUUUUUUCCGUGGCAGUUAAGAAACUGACUUCAGGAUACAAAGAAGGUAGGGGAACCAGUGGUAGUGGUGCACACCUAUGAUCCCAGCCAUUCUGGGGGCUAAGGCAGGAGUAUUGCAAGUUCAAGGCCAGCCUUAACAACUUAGGGAGACGUUGUCUCAAAGAACUGGGGAUGUAGCUUAACAGUAAAGCGCCCAAAGUUCAUGCCCCAAUACUGAAGGUGGUGGGCAGGACUCUGAUCUGAUCUUUAUCGCUACAGGCAGAUUACUUCACCCUCCACACCCUUUUUCCUAGUUGCAUGCAGGAUGUCCUUGGAAUCUGAUCACCUUCCUUUAGAGCACUUUUUGAGUUCUAUAUUUUCUUGGGCCUGUAGGGGCU
rnacentral:lncRNA from 1 species